rnacentral:lncRNA from 13 species
AGGAGUUUUUGACUGUGCAUGUAAACGCUUAGAGAGCAUGAUUUCCAUUGGCUGGGAAAUUCGCUCCGAAUGUGUUGAUUGGCCAUAUUAGCGGAGGAAACGUGAUAAGGGCGGUGCUAAAACGACAUGGCGGCCAUAUUGAAUUUCAUAUUGACAGUUGUUCCAAAGAUUUUGCAUCCGAGGCACAAGAAAGUGAAAGGUAUUGGUGGAAUAAUCAGCGAUUUCAGGACAUUUGUCCUUAACCUUUAAUGGUUGUGUUUCAACCAAGACAUGGACGAAGAUGAACGACAGAGGAAACUAGAUGCUGGAAGAGCAAAGCUUGCUAGCUUCCGACAGAAAAGGGCGAAAGGCGACGGUCAAGUCGCGCAGAAAAAGACGCAGAAGAGGAAGGGCCCGUCUCCAACGCAGAAUGACGGCCCAGCGCAAGGUCGCCCCCUAGGGAUGGACCUCCAGACAGACGGCAGCGCCACACAGCAGGACGACAUGUGUAACAAUGAGGAACCACAAUGUAUUGGGGAGACAGAUCAGAGCCAUCUUCCAGAGGUCCAGUGGAGCCAGGGGCACUUGGAGCAACACCAUCCCCAGGAGGGAAGCAGUGUCCUGGGGAGGCAGGCGGUCAGUGGGCAUCCUGAGGAGAUGGAGGUUGUGGGAGAGGAGGUCCUAGUGGUUCGCACUGGAAAAGAUCAGCUCAAGGUACUGAACUGUACCGACACACACAGUUUAUUUAAGCAAUAAGGCCCGAGGAGGUGUGUUAAAUGGCCAAUAAACCACGGCUAAGGAUACAGUGCCUGGAUACAGCCCUUAGCCGUGGUAUAUUGGCCAUAUUCCAUAAACCCCCAAGGUGCCUUAUUGCAAUUAUAAACUGGUUACCAACGUAAUUAGACUAGUAAAACGUUUUUAAAAUGUUGUACACAUGGUAUAAGGUCUGAUAUACCACGUCUUUCAGACAAUCAACAUUCAGUCUUUGUAUAUGAAUUAGGAAAUAUGUAAAGCUUUUCCUAUUGUAGGGGAUGGAUGGGAGAGAAACAGCUUGAAUUCUAAUUUCAUUAUUGCUGGAGAAAUGACAAACGUUUUUAAAUAUGUACCAGGAGAAAUGGGUUAGACGUGUGUUCGUAUGCAUGCCCUGCAACAAAAGUUACACGCACACUUCACUUGUGUGUUGUACCUCGUUUCCCUCCUUCAGGGAACAGUAGUUGUAUUCAUAACUUUAUGGUUAGAUGCACUUGUUUGACACACACCACCCACAAACACACACAUACACACCACACACACACCACUCCUAACUGGGUUGGGUAUUUUCUCGUUUGGAUUCAUUUGUUCUCAUGCUUUUUUACCCAUAAGAACCCAGGGCUGCUUCUGAAUAAUUACAGAUAGAGUGCCUUCAGAAAGUAUUCAAACCCCUUGAGUUAUUCCACAUUUUGUUACAGCCUGAAUUCAAAAAUGGAUUAAAUAGAUAAUUUUUCUCACCCAUCUAAACACGAUACCCCAUAAUGACUAAUUGAGAAAAUGUUUUUAGAAGUGUUAGCAAAUUUGUUAAAAAUGUAGUAUCUCAUUUACAUAAGUAUUCACACUCCUGAGUCAAUACAUACGUCUCUAAGAGCUUUACAUACCUGGAUUGUACAAUAUUUGCCUAUUAUUCUUUUCAAAAUUCUUCAAGCUCUGUCAAAUUGGUUGCUAGAAAACCAUUUAAGUCUUGCCAUAGAUUUUCAAGCAAGCAACUCCAGUGUAGAUUUGGCCUUGUGUUUUAGGUUAUUGUCCUGCUGAAAGGGGAAUUCAUAUCCCGGUGUCUGGUGGAAAGCAGACUGAACCAGGUUUUCCUGUAGGAUUUUGCCUGUGCUUAGCUCCAUUUAUUUAUUUAUUUUUUAUCCUGGAAAAACUCUCCAGUCCUUAAUGGUUACAUACCCAUAACAUGAUGCAGCCACCACAAUGUUUGAAAAUAUGGAGUGGUACUCAGUAAUCUGUUGUAUUGGAUUUGCCCCAAACAUAACACUUUGUAUUCAGGACGAUAAUUUAAUUCCUUUGCCACAUUUUUUGCUGUGUUACUUUAGUGCCUUGUUGCAAACAGGAUGCAUGUUUUGGAAUACUUUUGUGUUCCUUUCACUCUGUCAAUUAGGUUAGUAUUGUGAAGUAACUAAAUCUACAAUCCUACAUUUUCUCCUAUCACAGCCAUUAAACUCUGUACCAAUAGGUGCCCUUUGUGAGGCAUUGGAAAACCUUCUUGGUCAUUGUGGUUGAAUCUGUGCUUGUAAUUCACUACUCAUCUGAGGGAGAAAAAAAUUGUGUGGGGCAAAGAAAUGAGGUAGUCAUUUAAAAAAUCAUGUUAAACACAUUGCACACAGUGAGUCAAUGCAACUUAUUAUGUGAGUUAAGCAAAUCUUUACUCCAGAACUUAUUUAGGCUUGCCAUAAUGGUGGUUGAAUACUUAUUGACUUAAGACAUUUCAGCUUUUCAUUUGUAAAAAUGUAGAUAAACAGAAUUCCACUUUGACAUUAUGGGGUAUUGUGUGUAGGCCAGUGAUGACAAAUCUCAACAUAAUCCAUUUUAAAUUCAGGCUGUAAAGCAAUAACAAAGUCUUUCUGAAGGGAUGUCUUUCUCAUCCAUGCUUCUCUCUGCUCCCUCCCCA